rnacentral:rRNA from 1 species
UACGUAGGGUGCAAGCGUUAUCCGGAAUUAUUGGGCGUAAAGAGCUCGUAGGCGGUUUGUCACGUCUGCUGUGAAAACUGGAGGCUCAACCUCCAGCCUGCAGUGGGUACGGGCAGACUAGAGUGCGGUAGGGGAGAUUGGAAUUCCUGGUGUAGCGGUGGAAUGCGCAGAUAUCAGGAGGAACACCGAUGGCGAAGGCAGAUCUCUGGGUCGUAACUGACGCUGAGGAGCGAAAGCAUGGGGAGCGAACAGG